AUACUGAUGAUUUGUAAUGGAGAGGAAACAGAGAUUGGGAGGCAACUGGCAGGUGGGGCAUGCCCUUAUUGUGGAGGGAAAGUGCAUUCAGUAGAUGUAAGAAGACAAUGGAAAUUUUGCUUUAUGCCCAUAUGCUUCAAAUUCAAGAGAAAAUAUUUCUGCACUUACUGUUCAAGGCGUUUGGUUUUGUACUUUUCAUAAACAUCGCAUCGAUUUUUACACCGGUGAUGUCUAGAGUGGCGUGUACAGAAGCAUGAUAUGACAGUUUUAUGGCCCCGGAAUCGACCUAAAUACGACAUUAUAAGGCGAUAUUGAAGAUAUUUACCUGGGACAUGUUCAAGUAAGUCGAGUUAUUUGAAUGGAAUUGUAAUAAAGUGUGUGUUUGAGCUUUUGUAAAUCGGGAUUGCCAAGAGAAUGUGUGUGACUUGUCGUACCUCAUUUUGCCCAUCAAGAAUUCAUGUUGAGCACGAGUGUGAGAUUUGAUGAACAAAUUUAUGAUACGAAGUUGUUCGUGUGUAUUUAAUUUAGUGCAAACAUAUGUAAACUUCUUAAGUUGGAUAAUCUUCUUUUAAGUGUAUCAACCAUUAUCAUUUUUCAC
rnacentral:lncRNA from 1 species